rnacentral:rRNA from 1 species
GUGCCAGCAGCCGCGGUAAGACGGAGGGGGCAAGCGUUGUCCGGAAUCACUGGGCGUAAAGCGCACGUAGGCGGUUCCGUGCGUCGGUGCUGAAACCUCUGGGCUUAACCCAGAGACGCGUGCCGAUACGACGGGACUGGAGGCAGGCAGAGGGUGGCGGAAUUCCGGGUGUAGUGGUGAAAUGCGUAGAGAUCCGGAGGAACGCCUGAGGCGCAAGCGGCCACCUGGGCCUGACCUGACGCUGAGGUGCGAAAGCGUGGGGAGCGAACCGGAUUAGAUACCCCCGUAGUCC